GCCACGGUGGUCUAGCGGUUGGAACGCUGGCCUUGUAAUCCUGGAGUCUCGGGUUCGAUUCCCGGCGGUGCCC
rnacentral:tRNA from 1 species